rnacentral:rRNA from 1 species
CCUACGGGUGGCAGCAGUGGGGAAUAUUGCACAAUGGGGGAAACCCUGAUGCAGCGACGCCGCGUGAGUGAAGAAGUAUCUCGGUACGUAAAGCUCUAUCAGCAGGGAAGAAAAUGACGGUACCUGACUAAGAAGCCGCGGCUAACUACGGGCCAGCAGCCGCGGUAAUACGUAGGGGGCAAGCGUUAUCCGGAUUUACGGGGGGUAAAGGGGGCGUAGACGGCAGCAAAAGUCUGGAGUGAAAUCCCUGGGCUUAACCCCGGAACUGCUUUGGAAACUGUGCGGCUGGAGUGCAGGAGGGGUAAGCGGAAUUCCUAGUGUAGCGGUGAAAUGCGUAGAUAUUAGGCGGAACACCGGUGGCGAAGGCGGCAUACUGGACUGUAACUGACGUUGAGGCUCGAAAGCGUGGGGAGCGAACAGGAUUAGAUACCCCUGUAGUC